rnacentral:rRNA from 1 species
CGCCUUGCCAGCCCGCUCAGAAACUUAAAGGAAUUGACGGGGCCGCACAAGCGGAGGAGCAUGUGGUUUAAUUCGAUGAUACGCAGGAACCUUACCUGGGCUCGAACGUAAGAUGACUGUAGGUGAAAGCUUACAUCUCUUCGGAGCAUUUUACGAGGUGCUGCAUGGUUGUCGUCAGCUCGUGCCGUGAGGUGUCGGGUUAAGUCCCAUAACGAGCGCAACCCCUACCUUUAGUUGCCAUCAGGUAAUGCUGGGGACUCUAAAGGAACUGCCUACGCAAGUAGUGAGGAAGGCGGGGAUGACGUCAAAUCAGCACGGCCCUUACGUCCAGGGCUACACACGUGCUACAAUGGCCGAUACAGAGGGCAGCUACCUGGUGACAGGAUGCAAAUCUCCAAAGUCGGUCUCAGUUCGGAUCGGAGUCUGCAACCCGACUCCGUGAAGUUGGAUUCGCUAGUAAUCGCGCAUCAGCCAUGGCGCGGUGAAUACGUUCCCGGGCCUU